rnacentral:lncRNA from 15 species
AUAUAUUAUCAGGGAUGAUGCACAUUAAUCAACAUUACACUUUACAUUUACAUUACACGUGUGCAGGAGCUAAUAAGCAGGUUUUCAGGUAGGAGGUAACCUAGAGGUACUUUGGAGUACUGCAGGGGGAACGUGAGAUUUUCUUUAAUGAAUGAAUAAUUCCUUUAAUAUUUACACUAUAAUAUGUUUGAUAAAACAUGUAAAUGUAAGUUCAAUAUAUUGCAUUUUAUAUCCAAUAUUCACAUUGUUUAAUGCAACCGCUAACUUCUCUAAAACGUCUGGAAAACAGUUUGAGUUUCCUCUGAGAGAAAGACAAAGAUCUUCAGUGAAACUCACAUUUAUCAUUAAAUUAUAAAUGCAACUUAUAAAAUAAAAAACAAGCAGUUCAAUGCAAAUUCAAUGUCUGUGAUCCUGAUGAUGAAAUCAGUUCGCCAUUAAUUUCGUGAUGGAUUUAAAACAUGAAAGUGUUUCUCAGAUACAAUGUUGGGCUGAGAUAACUUUUGUCAUCAAUUGGAGCUAUACAAAUAAAACUGAAUUGAAUUGAGUUUUAUUUGUUAUUCUGAAAAUGAAAUAAUCUUUUUUAAUUUCAUUAUAUCUCUAUAAUGAUUCAUUUAUUUCUUUGAUUUUAAAAAAAGCUGCUUUAUAUGUCUGCAUCAGAGAAACUGCAUUAUAAUACAUAUAAUAUACAGAGAUAAAUAAAAACAAUGAUUAUUAAAGACAGCUGGAGACGAGGAGACUGUUCCCAUAGUGGGGGGCUCUGACAGGGACGAGACAUUAAAGAUGUUAAACAAUGUGAACACUAAAUGCGUCCGAUCGGAGCAGUAUGUCAUGAUGAGCCUGAACUGGAGGAAUAUACAGCGGGUCGGAUUCAGAGGCAGCUGUCCUCAAACCCCCACAGACAGACAGACGGACACACUCCCUCUGAAGCUUUAAAAUACCUUCAACACAAAUACAGAAGAGCUCCACAGCACCUGAAAACACCUGGAAAUACCUGGAAACAUAAAAGCAACAAUAUCUGGUUCUGCUGCAUCGAUUUUUAUCCUUUUUUUUAAAACUGUCCACCGUGAGUUCGACAGUAUUCUGUGACGAUAAAUCGAGUUCUCAUAUAUAUUCUGAUAAACACUGUGGAAGACGAUUAGGGCCGAAAAAUCAAUGUUUUACAUGUAGCCCUAACAUUUAUGUUUUUGAGUUUAGAGUACAAAAAUAAAUCGAAAUUCUCAGAAUUCUGUGUUUUGAAUUAUGAUUCUUUUUUUCAGAAUUCUGACUUUAUUGAAUUUUUUUUUUUAAAAAUUGGCUCGAUCCUAAAACUUAUUGAGUUUAAAGUACUUUAAAAACUUACUUUACACUCAGAACUCAAAUAAAAUUGAGUUCCGGUUCUAAAAAAGUCAGAAUUCAGACUUUUGAAACUUUGAACUAAUCUUUUCACGUGACCCUCUGAUGUGUAUUUAAGUUCUGAGUUUAAAAGGAAAAACUGUUUAAAACUCAGAGCUAAUUUUAUUUUUCAGAAUUCUGACUUUAUUGUAAAUUUAUAUUCUGAGAAUUUGUCCUUUUUUUAAAUUCCACUCAAAGUCAAAUAAAAUGUUCAGACAUGGCCCUAAUAAUCUUCCGUAAAUUAAUACUGACAGAUAUGAAUAAAAAUACCCGUCCCUGAUUGUCGGCCAUUUCUUCUGCUGAAUUAAGACUUUGUAAUCAGGCCACAUUACAAUCCGCGUCCCCUUUGGCAUCAUCGUACCUCCUUCCAGCCGAGCCUCCCCCAUCUGCCUCCCUCCCUCCCUCCCUCCCUGCUUGGAGUGAAAGGGAAUUCACUCUGCGAUGAAUGUUAACCAGUCGGAGGAUGAGAGAGGGCCAAACGCUGCAGUGUUGUUGUGAUCCACUCAGGCGGAGCAGCAUUUGACGGAGAACUUUUUAAUAGCCCCCUGGAGUUGCUCCAUAAACGGCUUGGCUCCGGCCAUUAUUUGUCCCCGUUUCCUUUCUUUUGAGAGCGACACUAUUGUGCGAACCACCAGCAAGCCAAAGCAAUCAUUUCCACUGCUUUGGGUAAUUUGGGGAGUAUGAAUGCUCUUGAUUUAUCAUCUAGUCUCCAUUAAAAUGUACGGGUCAGAUUAUGGCUCGGUGGCUCAUAAUCAAACUGCGUUCAUUCACUCAUUAUUCAUUCUGUGUUGUUCGGCAAACAAAAGCUAAACGUGCUCCUGGUUUCAGUUCCAGGCGGCAUGUUGGAAUAUGCAGAAUAAUAUCACAGGAUGCUUCCAGAUGGCUGUUUCAUUUUCCUGCUAACACCGGAAAUACUUUAUGAACAUCUGGGAGGAGUCCUGGUGGCACCCCCGCCCCCCCG